UUGCAGAAUUAGGAGUUAAAUUUCGAGAGAAAAAUACCCGAUCAAGUCCCGGGAAGGAAUGAAAUACGGACGGUAAACGACAUUUGUAAAUUUUAAUACCGAGGAUGGAGAGUGGCUGUUUAAAAAUUGAGGCCAUGUUUUACGUCCACCGGCACGUGGGAGAACUUCUCCAACAACGAUAAUAUUUCAACGAAAAAAUUCAUCUGGAGAAACAGCGGUAGGGAGCAAAAAGCAAUUUUUCCGUUUUUAAGGAUGCGAUAAAAUAUUUUCGAAACGGGAAAUUUAUAACGUAACGAGUAACCACGACGGACGUUUUCGUAAUAACAGAAUGAACAAAAGUUUAUCUCGUAUAAUUUUAAGAUUGAAAAAAA